AGCUUAAAACUAUCACAAAUAUCAAAAUCCCCCUCAAAACUGAGCUCAGAACUCCAAAAAGUUGCAUCCCCUUCUUCUAGUGGGCGGAGUCCUGUCCCACAGAUACCACUGCGAUAGGCGAAACUCGCAAGGUGUCCG
ensembl:ncRNA T06D8.13 ncRNA